GACGAACGCUGGCGGCGUGCUUAACACAUGCAAGUCGAACGGAAAGCCCCUGCGGUUGGGGGCUGUUGGAAAGGGGAGAGGGAGACGUAGACAAGCGGAACCUGCCCCUGAGAUAGCGAUAACAUCUUGGGACUGAGGCUGAUAGCUCAUAGGUUCUCGUGUGGCAGGUGGUGGAAAGGGAAGCUUGGGCGGCUGGGGAUGGCGUCGCGGCAUAUCAGCUUGUUGGUGGGGUAGUGGCUUACCAAGGCUUCGACGGGUAGCCGGCCUGAGAGGGUGACCGGCCACACUGGGACUGAGAUACGGCCCAGACUCCUACGGGAGGCAGCAGUGGGGAAUAUUGCGCAAUGGGCGGAAGCCUGAUGCAGCGACGCCGCGUGCGGGAUGACGGCCUUCGGGUUGUAAACCUCUUUCGGCAGGGACGAAGCGUAAGUGACGGUACCUGCUGAAGAAGCACCGGCUAACUACGUG
rnacentral:rRNA from 1 species